rnacentral:rRNA from 1 species
AUUGAACGCUGGCGGCAGGCCUAACACAUGCAAGUCGAACGAGUGGCGGGCGGGUGAGAAAUGUCUGGGAAACGGCUUGAUGGAUGGGGCUAACUCCUGAAAACGGUAGCUGAAACCGCAUACCUUCAAAUGCGCGCAGAUGGGAUUAGCUAGUUGGUGGGGUAACGGCUAACCAAGGCGACGAUCCCUAGUUGGUCUAAGAGGAGGACCAGCCACACUGGAACUGAGACACGGUCCAGACUCCUACGGUAGGAAGCAGUGGGGAAUAUUGGACAAUGGGGGCAAGCCUGAUGGAGCCAUGCCGCGUGUAUGAAGAAGGCCUUCGGGUUGUAAAGUACUUUCAUCGUGGAGGCGGUACCCGAAGAAGAAGCACCGGCUAACUCCGUGCCAGCAGCCGCGGUAAUUC